rnacentral:rRNA from 1 species
UACAGAGGUCUCAAGCGUUGUUCGGAUUCAUUGGGCGUAAAGGGUGCGUAGGUGGCGUGGUAAGUCGGAUGUGAAAUCCCGGGGCUCAACCCCGGAACUGCAUUCGAUACUGCCUUGCUAGAGUACUGGAGAGGAGAUUGGAAUUUACGGUGUAGCAGUGAAAUGCGUAGAUAUGCGGAGGAACACCGAUGGCGAAGGCAAUCCCCUGGGCCUGCACUGACGCUCAUGCACGAAAGCGUGGGGAGCAAACAGG